rnacentral:ribozyme from 13 species
AUCAGAGAAAUCAGAGAAUUCUGGUUCGUCUUGUGUGUCUGAUUCUUCUUCUUCUAUUUGUUUUUGUUCUAUUUCUUUAUCUUCUUUAUCUUCCUUCU